AUGACUCUUUCUAUUUCAGGACCUAGGGAGCUCACUGGUGCUGUUGAUUUAAGAAGUCAGUACAAAUUGCAGCCGCACCAUGAUUUCUUUUGCAAGAGGCCUUUGCCACUUGCAAUCUCAGAUACACAUUACCUUCACAAUGUUGUGGGGGACACUGACAUUCGGAAAGGAGAAGGAAUGAAGCUAGAUCAACUCGUUCAGUACUUAAGGGAUAAGCCUGCUUAUAUUCAGCCCUUUGAUAUGGAAACACUGGGGCAAGCAUUUCAGCUUCGAGAAACUGCUCCAGUAGAUUUACCCUUUCAAUCGACAGGCAUACCUACUAUUUCGGGCAAACCAAAAAGUGAGUCCAAGGACAAAGCCAAAAAACAUAAAAAGAAAGACAAAGAUAAAGACAGGGAGCAUAAGAAGCACAAACAUCGACAUAAGGAUCGGUCUAAGGACGACAAGGACAAGGAUAAGAAAAAGGAUAAGAAGCAUCAUGAGAAGAAGAGGAAGCAUGAGGGGACAGAGGACUCGGCAGACGUGCAUAAGCACAAAAAAAGCAAGCAUAAGAGUUCCAAAAUCGAUGAGAUGGGUAAUGCACUUAGUUAG
rnacentral:rRNA from 1 species